GUACUGUUGCUGCCAGGAAAAAAAGUCGAAUUCAUGGGUCAUGCUUUUGACCUUUUGCCAGGCCAGCAGCGCCGCGCUUAGAAUUCAGAAGGACGAGGAAAUGGCAUGGAAAUGGCAUCAAAAAAUUAUGCGUUUUUAAUGUUUUAGUUGCCAAAAACUUCGUUUUUCGAUUGCGUCUAGUAGGGAUAUUGUAGUUGCUACCGGGAAAAAGUUGAAUUCAGGGGUCACGAUUUUGACCUUUUGCCGGGUCGGCAGCGCCGCACCAAGGGUCAAUAAAAACGAGGGUGCUUCUUGACAUGGGGACGGCAUCGAAACUUUGUGCAUUUUUAUAUAUAUUAUUAUAUAU
rnacentral:sRNA from 1 species